UACAGAGGGAGCUAGCGUUUUUCGGAAUUAUUGGGCGUAAAGGGCGCGUAGGCGGCUAGAUGUGUCAAAGGUGAAAUCCCUCGGCUCAACUGAGGAACUGCCUUUGAAACUGUCUGGCUUGAGGCCGGGAGAGGGUAGCGGAAUUCCCAGUGUAGCGGUGAAAUGCGUAGAUAUUGGGAGGAACACCAGUGGCGAAGGCGGCUACCUGGACCGGUUCUGACGCUGAGGCGCGAAAGCGUGGGUAGCAAACAGG
rnacentral:rRNA from 1 species